rnacentral:rRNA from 1 species
UACGUAGGGUGCAAGCGUUAUCCGGAAUUAUUGGGCGUAAAGAGCUCGUAGGCGGUUUGUCGCGUCUGCUGUGAAAACUGGGGGCUCAACCCCCAGCCUGCAGUGGGGUACGGGCAGACUAGAGUGCGGUAGGGGAGAUUGGAAUUCCUGGUGUAGCGGUGGAAUGCGCAGAUAUCAGGAGGAACACCGAUGGCGAAGGCAGAUCUCUGGGCCGUAACUGACGCUGAGGAGCGAAAGCAUGGGGAGCGAACAGG